rnacentral:tRNA from 1 species
GUCCCAGUAGCACAAUGGAUAGCGCAUUAGACUUCUAAUCCUAAGGUCGUGGGUUCGAAUCCCACCUGGGAUU